rnacentral:rRNA from 1 species
GACGAACGCUGGCGGCGUGCUUAACACAUGCAAGUCGAACGGUAAGGCCCUUCGGGGUACACGAGUGGCGAACGGGUGAGUAACACGUGGGUGAUCUGCCCUGCACUUCGGGAUAAGCCUGGGAAACUGGGUCUAAUACCGGAUAGGACUCCGGACUGCAUGGUCUGGGGUGGAAAGCUUUUGCGGUGUGGGAUGGGCCCGCGGCCUAUCAGCUUGUUGGUGGGGUGAUGGCCUACCAAGGCGACGACGGGUAGCCGGCCUGAGAGGGUGACCGGCCACACUGGGACUGAGAUACGGCCCAGACUCCUACGGGAGGCAGCAGUGGGGAAUAUUGCACAAUGGGCGCAAGCCUGAUGCAGCGACGCCGCGUGAGGGAUGACGGCCUUCGGGUUGUAAACCUCUUUCAGCAUCGACGAAGCGAAAGUGACGGUAGGUGCAGAAGAAGGACCGGCCAACUACGUGCCAGCAGCCGCGGUAA